GUUUGUUCCCCUUUCAAAACCAGGGUGCGCAUGACUAUUAAUUUUAUUAAGAAUUACAGUAAUUUCUGGUAUUUGAACAGACCAUAACAAGAGAGAUUGCCAACAGUGAUCCAUUCAUGUAGCAGAGUCACGUUGAUAGACCAUUUAUUUUACGUUGUUAGACAAUUAAGUUGCUCUCCAGCAUGGUAGGAAAUGUGUAGAGUGACAUCUUGAUUGUGCAACUCCACAUUAGAAAAGCAUGUAGGGGCAUGGAGAUUAUCUGAGUAUAGCUUAGGGUAUAGAUCCUGGGAAUGAGAGGUAAAUAUCCUUCCUUACAAGGUACAGAGGAAAGCCUUUGUAGCCUGGAGUUCUUUGAUGCCAUUUGACUAAGAGAGGAUCAUUUGGCUAACUACCUUGCCAAUGGGAAGGAGCAGUCUUGGCCUCUAAUUGAGAGAGAUUGUUGGGAACCCACUCAGGAGAACCAGGUCUUGAAGACGUUUGCCUUCAUCUCUGGGUUGAUCCCUCCUGCCUGUUCCUCCCAUGAUUUCUUUAUCCCUUGUGGGCAGAGCCCUUUGGGCCGUGGCCCUCAGCCAAGCCAGCAAGGACAUGGUAACAAGCUCUUGCUGGAAUAUUAUGUGGAGGCAGGGCAGUUCAAUACCACCCAGCCCCUUCCCAGGGAAAGAUAUGGCUAUCUGCUUUCCUAAAGAUUAUAGCCCAGGAAUCCCUAUGAGGCAGUUCUACUGUCACAUUGGGUUACUGUGAGGCAAAAUCUACUGGGUAGCACCUAGCAAGGACAAAAUAUAUUGUUCUGUAAGAUGUGAUUCUUAUGGUACACCUGAAUUAAAGGUGUGUAUGUUGCAAAAAAAAAAAAAUUUUUUUAUGUUGCAGAUGAGGAACAAAGUUGACGUUCAUGUCAAACUGACUUUUGAGUAAGGUGUAAGGAAACUCAAGUUGGAAUGUUUCCCAGUGGGCAGUGGGGCGCUCAAUGGGUAAACUCUGUGCAGGCACUUAUUCUGUUUCUUGAGGUGUUGGCCAAGCUGGAGUUUUAAGCGUGCAGAUAUGAAUGGCUUUAAUUCUAUCCACCUGCAGGGAGCCUGGGUGGGGUGAUAUUUCUGCUCCUAGAAUGGAAGGAAGCAUAACAUACCCCCCCUCACAGAGAAAAGAGCUUUGAAGAUUCAACACAACAUGUGGGAGCUCCUUCCCCAAAAGUAGAGAUGAUGGCUAUCCUCCAUUCUUUAGGGAGGCCAGACACUGGUUUUUUGUAUAGGAAAGGGAGGAGGAAAUGAUCCUGUAGAAGGGUACUGUGUAAUUUCUGGUGUAAUGCUGCUAUCAUGUGGAAAUUGUUUGCCAAGCCCAGCAACCCACCAAGGUUGCUUCCUCUUGUGGCUUUUGAGGAAAGUUAGUGUUUCCAAAAAGGACUAGGAAUAGUGUCCUGAAAUGUCCCUCGCUCAGAAGGCACGGGGUAAAUACACACGAAGGUGGAAGCCUGCCCAGGAAGCAGUAGAAACAGGAGUCAGGACGAGGUAGAUAGGUGGCAUGCCAGGUAGUUCAGGCACAGGAAGCCAAGGUUUGGUGGCUGCCAUGUCUAGGCAGGACUACCACAAGCUCUGAUGGCCCUUCACUUCAAUUUUUCUGUCUGUGGUUUCAGUUGCCAUUUAGAGUUAGGACUGAAUAUAUGUUUAUAGUUUCUCCCAAACAUGGCUGCCACAGAGGCCACCCCCUAGGGCUCUGUGAGCCUGGUGGGCAUGGCAGACUGAGCUUCUUUGUCUGGGAUCCUUGCCCUAGCAGUUUCAUACCUGCUGUAGAGGUGGCCUGGUAAGUCCCCUGUGUCCUCUGAUUCCCCAUGCCCCUAAACACAACCCAUGUUCAUAUCACAGGCCUUAUCCGCAAGAUACACAAAGAAACAGGCUGCAGUUGAGUCAAUUCCAACUUAUGUUGAUACUCCAUGUUACAGAGUAGAACAGCCGCCACAGGUUUUGGUUGCCUUUACUCUUUAAGUAGAUGCCUAGGCUUUUCUUUUACACCACCACUGUGUAGGUUCAAACCAGGAACCUUCAGGUUAGUUGAUGAAUGCAAAUUGUUAUUGUCCUCCUCAGGAGAUACACAUAUACACAAAUACGUGAAUAUCAGUAUGAGAAUAUGUAUACAUGCAUGCGUAUAUUUAUGGCAACAUCUAUUUCUAUAAGACUUCUAUGUCAGAAUUGCAUGGUAACGGGUAUCCAGAUUUUUAUUCCUGUAGAUAUAAACGUCUUCUUGGUUAGGAUUUUAACUUUCACCAGAAAUUGACUCUUGGCUUAAGUAGGGACGACUACCUUGGUUUCCCCUCUUAUCGUUGCCUUCUGGCGCUUCUGGACUCAUGGGUCAGCUCAUUCAGGGCAAGAACUCAAGAGCCCAGCCCCAGAGAGAGAGUAGGCCAUGCUGGCAGCAGCAGGAGGUGGCCAUGGCAGGUCAGAAGACAGUGAGGUCUGUAACCUGGCUCACUUUCAAGAAUCCCAGGUAGAUAUUGCCCAUUUGGUACCCUGGGUUCAAGGUCCGUGAAUCAGAAGGAAGGUCCAGUGGUGCCACAAAGACAGGUCUCAACUGCCAGGGAUAUUUGGUUUUUGGUCUCUACCGGAAAGAUCUACAUUAAGGUUUGGCUGCGUAAUAUACUCACACCCUCAUAGGCACGUACAAACACACAUAUACACAGUCACAUACACAGUUUUUGUUUGUUUGUCUUUAACUGCCAUUCAAAGAAAUCAUCCAUUACUGGUGUUCUAGGCCCACUUCCAAGCCUGUUCCUCUCCCUUCCACCCCUCAUUUUAAUGCUCCUUAUAAUGAGAACCACAUUUAAGUAUUCCUUGUAUACCCUGCUAGCGUUUAAUGCACAGGAAAGGAAAUACCGAUUCAUGUUUGCAUUUCUUCUUGUGACUGAUCCCAAAGGGUAUCACAAGCAGUACACUCUUCUGCAUUUUGCUGCUUUCACAGAAGAUGUGGCCUGGUCUUUGCGUACCUGUACAGAGAAAACCUCCUGCCAGGUCACCCACUCAUAGAGUUUCAGGUAUGGAGCCAUCCCUCCUCCUCAGGAAGAAAGGAAACCUAAUGAUUCUCUUCAGAGACAAGGGCUCGCAAUUCAGCACAAGAUGUUAGAGCUGGAACCCCAAAAGUAGACAAGAUGCCAUGCAAAUAAUAUCUGUGUUGCCUGGAUGGAGUAUACAUGGCUACCUUUGACCAUCACUCUGACAAUCCAGAAUGGAAUCCUGGGAGCUCUGGACCUUGCAGGACUCUGUCCUUGGUCCUUUUCCGAGACCCUGACUUUCCCAAAUUCUAGGACUGGGUGUCUGAGCAUCUCUUUGCUGAGGAACCUGGUCUGGAAAGAAAGACAGGAGAGAGAACGCCGCUCAUCUCUAGCUGGUGGACUUACGGCCAAGCGAAUAAUACCUGAGUCAGUUGGGUGGAUUAUACAUGGCCCCCUUUGAACAUCUCUCUGACAAACUGAACUGGUGUCCUGGGUGUCUAGCCAUCUCUGUGCUAAGGAGGCUGGACUGGAAAGAAAGAAAAGAGAACCCCGCUCAUCUCUAGGCAGUGGAUUUAUGGCAGAGAAGAUAAUAUUCCAGUUGGUGUAACUGAGUGUACAUGGCCACCUUUUACCAUCACUCUGCAAACUGAAAUGGAGUCCUGGGUGUCUGGGCAUCUCUGUGCUGGGGAAACUGGAGCAGAAAGAAAGACAGGAGAGGGAACGCUGCUCAUUUCUAGGUGGUGGACUAACGGGUAAGUGCUGUUUCUUUCGAUUUGUUCUCUAUUCGAAACCAAGUUGCACAGGAUGGUUAAUUUUAUUAAAGAACUUCAGCAGUUUCUGGUAUUUGAACAAACAUCAGAAAGGAGAGUUUUCUAACAUUGACUCAUAUAGCAUAAUAACAUUGAGAGAUUAAGUGGCUUUCCACCAUGGUAGAAAAAGAUUUUGAGAGACAGCCUGACACAUUAGAAAUGCCUGGCACAGCAGAGAGAGGAUCUGUGUCCACCUCAGGGCAGAGGUACAGGGAAUGAGAGGUCAGUGUCCUGCAGUGCAGGGGAGAGAGGAAAGCCAUUGGAGGCCAGAGCCCAGGAGGCCAUCUGCCUGAGAGAGGGCCAUUUGGUUGCCCUCCCUGUCUACUGGAAGGAGAAGUCUCAGCCUCCAAUGGGGAGAGACUGUGGGGGACCCCUUGAAGACAACCAGGUUGAAGACCUUUGCCUUCUUCUCUGAAUUGACCCUUUCCUACCUAUUCCUCCCAUUGUUUCCUGAUCCCUCUUGGGUUGAGUAUACUGGGCUGUGGCCCUCAGCUGGGCCAGUAAUGAAGUGCUUAUAAACUCUUGCUGGAAUAUUAUGGGGGCUAAAAGGGGUUGGGAGGGGCAUAUGGGGCAGAAUGACACAAAUAUUUCUGCACUUUCUGUCUGUUCAUAAACCAAUCUGAAAAUGUGAUGAUGAGGCUUGAUUCCUGUCUGCUAUGUGCGGCACAUAACUAAACCUUAGUUAAAGAAGACCUUCAAAUGAUAAAGCCACAAAGGUGUGUCCUGAGGCAUGGUACCACUGGAGGAUGUCCUGCCCGUGACUCAUGCUGCGGACCACCGAGUUGAACAGAAGCUUCCAGAAUGCUUCCAGGUACACAAAUGGAUUUAACUUGUAGAUCCUGAGAAGGAAAUUUUCUGCUAUCACUCGUUUUACGUCUUCACCUUGCCAAAUUUCCAGAUACGUUGUUUUUCCUUGAGGACAUUUUCUUACGGCAGUCACAGGGAGGAAUGUCACAUUUCCCAUUUCUCCCAAACAUGGCAGCCACAGAUCCAGGCUUCCAUGGCUCCCUGAGCCACGCAGGCCUGGCAGCCUGGGGUUCCUUUGUUGGGGAACCUGGCCCUGUGGCUUUCACAACUGCUCUACCGGUUGACCGGUCACACCCAGAGUCAUCUGAGUGCCCCCGCUUCCUCAUAUCACAGGCCUUACAAGAUGAAGGAGCCCUGGUAGUGCAAUGGUUAAGUGCUAGGCUGCUAACCAACACAUUAGCCAUUUGAUUCCACCUAGUAUUUAUGCAAUGGAAAGUCCUGGCAACCUGCUUCUACAAAGAUUAUAGCCGAGAAAACCCUAUGGGGUAGUUUUACUCUAUCACAUGGGGUAGCUGUGACUCAGAAUCGACUCAAAGGCUUGCAACAACAGCAAUAUAUGGCCCACUCUCUCUCUGGGACAAGGCUCCUGAGUCCAGAAGAGCCGAGGAUCCAAUGGUAAAAGAAAUCAAGGUACUCAUCCCUACUCAAACCAACUGUCGGUUUCCUGUGAAAGCUAAAAUCCUAUCCAGGAAGACUUAGACAUCUACAUGUGCAAACAAAAAUCUGGGUAAAUGUGAACAUGGAACUCUGACAUAGAGAUCUUAUAGAAAUAAAUAGCUGUAGCAAUAGAUAAACAUGCAUGUAUUCAUAUGUUCACACUGAUAUUGAUAUGUAUAUAAAUACAUCCCCUGGGUGAUACAUAGAGGUUGAUGAUGAUGUGUGCUGUCGUGUUGAUUCCAACUAAUAGGCACCCUAUAUGGCAGAGAAGAACUGCCCCAUAGGGUUUCUUAGGCUGUAAUCUUCAUGGGAGCAGAUAGCCAAGUGUUUCAUCCCUUGGAGCAGCUGGUGGGUUUCAACCACUGUCCUUUCAAUUAGCAGCGGAGGACUUAACCAUUGCGCAGCCAGGGCUCCUUUAAUCAUUACUAGUAGCAUAAACUAGAGCGCCCGUCAUACCCAGAGAGAGAAAGAAGUACACAAGCUUCUCUCCCCUUUAACUAAUCUCCCUUGAAAGUGUGCAGUUUGUACUGGAGUCUGUGUUCUGUGUUUAGGGUUUUGAUCACCUUGUAAACUCUGUCAAAAGCUGAGGUAAACACAAGGAAAAGUUAAUUCUGUGUCCACUAUAAGAAGGGUUGGGACAAGGGGUAGAAAGGAGAGGAACAGGCUUGGAAGUGGUCCUAGUACAAUCGUAAUGCAUGUUUUCUUUGAAUGGGAUGGGGCUGUGUUCACACUGGCACCUCCAUGGAACUCAAAGACACACAUAAAUGGUGUGUGUAUAUAUUUGUGCUUCUGUGUGUGUGUGAGGAUGUGAGUGUAUGAUUCACCAACACCUUAAUAUAGAGGUUUACAGUAGAGACUGUAAUACAAAUGGACUUCACGGAGGACACCUGUUCGUAUGGUGCCAUGGGGUUUCCUUCUGACCCAUGGACCUGCAAACUGGGGCAGUAAAUGGGGAAUGACUACCUGGGUUCCCUGAAGGUAAGCAAGGACAUCAACCUGUCUACUGACCCACCAUAACCACUGUUAUAUAUUCCUGAUGCAACAAUGGCCUGCCCUCUCUCUGUGGUCUGGCUGCUGACCCUUUGCCCUGGAUGAGGUAGUUCAUGAAUCCAGAAAAGCCAGUGAGGCAAUGAUAAGAGGAAAUCAAGGUAUUUAUCCCAACUCAAGCCACGAGUCAGUUUUCCUAUGAAAGCUAAAAUCUUACCCAAGAAGACCCGUAUAUCUAUACAAGUGAACAAAAAUCUGGGUAUCUGUUAACAUAGAAUUCUGAUUCAGAAGUCUUAUAGAAAUACGUGUAGCAAUAAAGAUGAACAUGCAUUUAUACAGAUAUUCAUAUAUAUAUAUAAGUGCCUGAGUGUUGCAAAUGAUUUGUAGUCAGCUACCAAACUAUAGGGUCGCUAUGAGUUGGAUUCGACUCGACGGCACUGGGUGUUUGUUUUUGUUUUACAAAACUAAUGGCUGGUUGUUCAAAUCCACCCAAUGACACCACAAAACAACGUACUGGCAGUGUGAUUCGGUAAAGAUUACAGGCAAGAAAACACUAUAGAUCAGUAUAGCUCUGUAACACAUGGGAUCACCGUGAGUUGGAAUAUAUUUGAUGGUAAAAGGAUUUAUUGGUUUUUUUAUAAAUACAUACAAAUCAAGCAAAGGGCCAGAAAGGAAAACACUUCCCCCACCACCCCAGUGCUGUAACCCUACCUGGAAGGCCUAGAUGGGUCUGGGCUUUCCUUUUUUUUUUUUUUCUAGUCAGGAAAGGGCAGAGGGAGAGGCCAUGGGGAAAAAUGGAAUGCUUUUGUGGAGCAACAUUGCCAUCAAGUGGAUGCUUUUACAGCAUGGUCUCGAGACACCCUAGCUCUUUUUGAUAAGACGAUCCUGGAUUAGGGGGACUCAAAAGACUCUGAGGCCUGACUGGACAACCUCCACAGUGGGCAUGAUAGCCAGAACCAUCCUCCCCUACAAACAAAUCCCACACUACCAGGCCUGCCUGGCUCAGAAAUCUGUAGGGGCAUGCCCUAGGUGGCCGCCAUGUUUGAGGGAAAUGAAAAAUAUGAUAUUCUUCCCUAACUCUGAAUACCAAGAAAAAUGUCUUCAUGGAAAUAGUUCGACGUGGUGCAGACCUGAGAGAAACGAUACCAGGAAACCUCCAUCGGGGAUAAAACCAAAAACCCACUGCCGUCCAGUCGAUUCCAACUCAUAAGGACCCUAAAGGACGGUAGAACUGCCUCAAAGAGUUUCCAAGUAUUCUAACUGCUGACCUUUUGGUUAGUAGUUGUAGCUCUUAACCACUUCGCCACCAGCGAGAAGGACCUGGUUUCUUCCUGGCUGUGUUUCUGUGUUCACUCAACCUAUCAGCAUGCAUCCUUUCAAAAGUCAAAGAUUUCUACCUGUCUCCUAAAGAUGCCAAGCAGAUAGCAUCCAUGUUGACUGGGGGGAGGGGAGUGUACAACGCCACCUUUCAUUGUCACUCUGACAAACCAAAAUGGAGUCCUCCUGAGGAAAGAAGGAAAACUAAUGCUUCCCUACAGAGAAGAGAGCUAGCGAGACUCAGCACAAGAUAUGGGAGCUGAAGCCACAAAAAUGGACAAGAUGCAGAGUGAAUACUAUCCCAGUUGGUGUGACUGAGUGUACCUGGCCGCCUUUUACCAUCACUCUGGCAAGCUGAAAUGGAGUCCUGGGUGUCUGAGCAUCUCAGUGCUGGGAAACUGGACUGGAAAAAAAAGACAGGAGAAUGCUUCUCAUUUCUAGGCAGUGGACUUACAGGUUUACCGUAGAGACUGUAAUACAAAGGGACUUCACAGAGGACACCUGCUUGUGUGGUGCCAUUGAGGUUUCCUUCUGACCCAUGGACAUGCAAACUGUGGUAACAAAUGGGGAAUGACUACCAGGGUUCCCUGAAGAGCAAAUAAUGUCCCUGUUGAUGGGACUCAGCGUACAUGGCCACCUUUUACCAUCACUCUGCAAACUGAAAUGGAGUCCUGGGUGUCUGGGCAUCUCUGUGCUGGGGAAACUGGACUGGAAAUAAAGACAGGAGAGAGAAUGCUGCUCAUUUCCACGUGGUAGACUUAUGGUUAAAGAAGACCUUCAAAUGAUAAAGCCACAAAGGUAUGUCCUGAGGCAUGGUACCACUGGAGGAUGUCCUGCCCGUGACUCAUGUUGUGGACCACCGAGUUGAACAGAAGCUUCCAGAAUGCUUUCAGGUGCAGCAAAUCUCUUUCAGCAGAGCGUAUAAUAUCCCUGUGAGUUGAGUGUACGUGGCCUCCUUUGACCAUCAUGCUCACAAACCAAAAUGUAGUCCUGGGUGCCUGGGUAACUCUGUGCAGAGGAAACUGGACUGGAAAGAAAGACAGGAGAGAGAGCACUGCUCAUCUCUAGGGACUGGAUUUAUAGGGGAGAGAGGAAAGCUCUUGUAACCUGGAGCGUUCAGAGGCCGUCUCACUGAGAGAAGACCAUUUGGCUGCCCACCUUGCCAAUGGGAAGAAACAAUCUCAGCUUCCAAUGGGGAGAGACUAUUGGAGAAGAAACAGUUAUUGAAGGCCUUUGCCUUCAUCUCUGAGUUGAGCCCUCCCUACUUGUUUCUCCCAUAUUUUCCUGAUCACUCUUGGGUUGAACACACUGGGCCAGGGCCCUCAGCCAGGCUGGUAUGGACAUGGCUAACAAGCUCUUGCUAGAAUAUUAUGGGGGCCAAGGAGGAUUGGGAGGGGCUUAGGGGGAAAAGUGACACAAAAAUCUUUGCACUUUCUAAGUCUGUCUGUUCACAAACCAAUCUGAAAAUGUGAUGGCUUGAGGAGGUAUGAUUCCUGUCUUCCAGGAGCAGGAAAAAUCUGGGACUAUGUACAUCAAGUUGAUGAUUGUGCUUCCCAAAGGCAAGAGAUUAUCAGGAAGAUAUCUUUAUAUUUCAGAACAUCUGCUUCUCUAAGAUCUGAUUCUUGGCAGAACCCCUGAAUUAUAAGUGUGUACUUUCCAAAAGAGGAACAAAAUUGAAAUUGGUAUCAAACUGGGUUUUCCGUGAGGUAUAAGAAAGCUUAAGUUGGGAUCUUCCCCAGUGGGCAGUGGGCUGCUGGAUAACUUUAGGUCUGCCCACCCAAGGGUGCCUGGGUGGGGAGUAAUUUGUUUAUCCAGGAAGGAAGGAAACCUAGCACCCCCCUACAGAAGUGAGAGAUUGCGAGACUCAGAAGAUGUGAGAGCUGGAGCCCCCCAAAAGUGGACAAGAUGGUGAGGUGCCACGCCAUAGGAGGGUUGGACACUGGUUAGCAUUUUUUUUUCCAAUUCUAAGGGCAGAGGGAGAAGUCCUCCAUAAAGGGCACGCUGGUAUUUCUGGUGCAAUACUGCCAUCAAGCGUAAAUUGUUUGUCAAAUGCACGGUUGCUUCCUGGGGAGGCCUGGGUUGUGAGGAAAGUCAGGGUGUCUGAAAAGGACGUAGGACAGAGUCCUGCGAUGUUUCUAGAGCUCCCAAGGCAUGGGGCAAGUGCACACCAAGGUGAAGACCUGCCCAGGAAGCUGUGGAGACAGGGGUCAGUAUGAGGCGGACAGCGAGGGUCCCAGGCCAGCUGCGCACAGGAAGUCAAAGUUUGGGCCUAGGUGGCUGCCAUGUUUGGGCGGGACUAGCACAAGCUCCUAUGGAGUUUCAGUUCAUUUUUUCUGCCUGUGAUUUCAGUUACCAUUUAGAGUUAGGAUGGAAUAUACAUUUCCAGUUUCUCCCUAACAUGGCUGCCACCUAGGCCACCCCCCUCGUAGCUCCUUCAGCUUGGUAGGCAUGGCAGCCUGGGCUUCUUUGGGAGCUUGGCCCUGGGCCUUUCAUACCUGUCUGGAGGUGGCCCUUUACAUCCCCGAAGUCCUUUUUCUGCCCCAGCAUACCCUUGUUCAUAUUAUAGGCCUUCUCCACAAGAUAACCAAAGCAAACCACAUUGUCAUCUAGUAGAUUCCAACCAUUGGUGACUCCAUGUAUUGUAGGGUAGAACUGUGCCACAGGGUUUUCUUGGCUAUGAUAUUUCUGGAAGCUGAUGGCAAGACAUUUCUUUUGAGACGCUUCUGGGUGGGGUUUAGCCUCCAACUUUCAGGUUAGUAGCCAAGUACAAACCGUGCCACUCAGAGAUACAUAUAUUUAUAAAUACCAGUAUGAGUACAUGCAUACAUGGAAUGUUUGUCUUUAUUGCUACAUCUGUUUCUAUAAGACCUCUAGUCAGAAUUCCAUAUUAACAGGUACCCUGAUUUUUGUCGACACAUGUUAGAUAUACAGGUCUUCUUGGGCAGGAUUUUAGGUUUUACAGGAAAUUGACUUUUGGCUUAAGUAAGGAUGAGUACCUUGAUUUCCUCUGUUAUCACUGCCUUUUUGCCUUUUCUGGAAUCAUGAACCAUCUUACCCAGGGCAAGGGCUCAGGAGCUGAGGCCCAGAGAGAGAUUAGGCCAGUCAUUGUAGCAUCAACAGUAAUGACCAGCGGCCAUAGCAGGUCAGAAGACAGUUAAGUCAAUGCCCUGGCUCACCUUUACGAAUCCCAGGUAGACAUUGCCCAUUUGUGCCCCAGGUUGUAGGUCCAUGAAUCACAAGGAGACACCAAUGGCACCACAUAGACAGGUGACAACCACAAGGGUCAUUGGUUUUACAGUCUACUGCAUAGCUCUAUGUGAAGGUUUGGCUGCAUUACACACUUACACACAUGUGUAUGUAUAUAGUUUUGUUUGUCUUUAACUACCAUGGGGGUGACACUGUAGAUAGAGUCUCAUCACAUCAAAGAAAUCAUCCAUUGUAGUACCACUUUCAAGUCCACCCCUUGUUCCAACCCUCCUGAUAAUGAGAACCAGGUUUAUUUAUUUAUUUAUUUAUUUUGGUUUAUGAUUCUGGUUUUUAAUGUAAACGAAAGCACAUACAGACUCAUGUCUGCAUUUUGCCUUUUAACUGACUACUGUUAAAAAUAAUCAAAACUCAAAGAAAUUGAAACUUAAAGUUUAUUCUGAGCAGUUGUUUUAUAUGCGUAUAGGGAGUCCAUUCCGAUUCCAAAUAAAAAGCAAAGGCUCAAAGUAGGCCAGUUACAAUGCAGCUACAAAGAGAAGAGAACUGAGAAUAGAAGAUCAACCAUUGGCUAAUCUUAACAUGAUGGACUGAACUUUGCUUUCCCUCUUUCACUGAAAUUGACUGAUACCAGGUCACAAGGUGGUCUCUGGCCCUCCACCCACCUGCAGUCAUGAUACCUCUUGAACUUUAAGUAAGCCUGGCUUCCAACAGGAAAUAAAAGAUUAGCAACCUUGUGUGGGGGAAAGAAAACACUGACAGGAGUAAUUUUUCAUCAGGAAUUUUUACACUUAAUAUUUGUUUUCAUGGAUAAGAAAAACCAUAAUAACAUUUUAAUUAUUCUUUUUGACAUCCCAAAGGGUAUCAGGAGCAAUACACUCUUCUGCAUUUUGCUGCUUUCACAAAAGAUGCGUUCUGGCAUUUGCACAUCUGUGUGGAGAAAACCUCCUGCCAGGUAGUUAUUACUUCCUUUCUAUCCACUGCUUAGUAUUCCCCUGUGUGGGGAUGGGGUGGCGCAUAGCAUAUUCAUCCUGGGCUUUUCCUUUGACACAGGUUUUGGAGGUCCUUCCUUCUUUCCUCCCCUCCUUACUGCCUACCUUUUUCUUCAUGUCUGUCCGCUUCCUUUCUAUUUAUUUCCUUCUAUUUCUUCAGUAAAUUUAGUACCUUGCUUUGAUGCAGAAUGGAAUUUCAGCAUAGUUAUGGUAAUGUGAAUGUGUGAAGUGAGCCAAAGGUGCUGACGAUCCCUUGAAGGUCUGGUAUUAAUUACCAUUUGUGGUGAAGGACGCAGGCUUGGGACUACAUUCCCAUAUGUUCUCCCAUAGUCUCACAGGCACGGAGGGGCAGAAAAGACCUGGGACUAUACAUGUCAAGUUGACAGUUGUGCUUCCCAAAGGAAAGAGAUUAUCAGGAAGAUAUCUUUAUAUUUCAAAGGAUCUGGUUCUCUAAGAUCUAAUUCUUGGCAGCACCCCUGAACUAAGAUGUGUGCUUUCCAAAAGAGGAAUAAAAUUGAAAUUCAUAUCAAACUGGCUUUCAGAUGAGGUGUAAGAAUGCUCAAGUUGGAAUGUCCCCCUGGUGGUGAAGUGGUUAAGAGUCUGGCUGCAAAUUAAAAGUUUGGCAGUUCCAGUCUACCAGGCGCUCCUUGGAAACCCUAUGGGGCCAUUCUACUCUGUCCUGUAGGGUCGAGAUAAGUCAGAAUUGACUCGAAGACAAUGGGUUUGGUUUGGUGUUUUGGUUCUCUAAGACAUGAUUUUAGGCAGCAUAACUGAAUUAUAGGUGUGUGCUUUCCAAAAGAACAAAAUUGAAACUGAUAUCAAACUGGCUUUUCAGUGAGCUGUAAGAAAGCUCAAGUUGGAAUGCUUCCCAGUGGGCAGUGGGGUGCUGGGUGGAUGACCUCUCUGCAGGUAUGCAGUCUAUUUCUUGAGGUUUUGGCCAUGCUAGAGUGCUAAGGAUGCAGCUAGGAAUGGUUUUAUGUCCAUCUACCCACAGGGCACCUGAGUGGGGAGUCAUUCCUCCUUGUUAGGAGGAACCUUGUGUGCCUACAGAGGCAAGGGUUUGCAAGGUUCAGUACUGGAGCCCCAAAAGUGAACAAGACAGUGAGGCGCCAUGCUUUAGGGAGGCUGGACAUUGGUUGGUGGUUUUUUUUUCCCAAUAGCUAAGGGUGGAGGGCAAGGUCCCAGGGAAGGGUACACCAGCAUUUCUGGUGCAACACCGCCAUCAAGUGGAAGUUGUUCCCAAAGCCUAUACACAUACCAAUGUUAUUUCCAGGGGAGACCUGGGAUUGGAGGAAAGACACCAUCCCUCAUGUCCACAGCUCCCUGAGACAGAAGCUAAGUGUAGACCAAGGUGGAGGCCUGCCUAGGAAGCUGAGGAGACUGGGGUCAGGACAAGGCAGACAGCCAGGGUACCAGGUCAGUCUCGCAGAGGAAGCCAAGGCUAGGGUCUUGGUGGUUGCCUUGUCUGGGCAAGGUGAGCUUCAGCUCAUUUUUCCUGUUUGUGAAGAUGAUUUCGGUUACCAUUUAGAGUUAGUAUGGAAUACACAUUUCUAGUUUGUUCCAAACGUUGUGGCCAGCCACCAAGUCUACCCCAUGUGGCUCCCUGAGUCUGGCAGGCCUGGCAGCCUAGGGCUUCUUUGCCAGGGAGCCUGGCUCUGUGGCUUUCGCAUCAGCUCUGGAGGUGGCCUGGUUAGGGCACCGAGUCCUCUGCGUGCCCCCAACCUGCCCUGUGCAUAUCAUGGGCGACACCACAAGAUACGAUUAGAGGCUGGAGACGAUGCUCAAAAAGCCUCCACUUGAUGGCAGUGUUGCUCCACAAAUGCCGAACACCCCAUCUCAGUGGUCUCUCCCUCCACCCUUUCUUGGCUAAAAAAAUAUCAAGGAGGGCCAGGAGUCCUCCAGGCCUUCCAAGUUGGGUUUACCUCCUUAAAAAGGUAAGAGGAAACCCACUGCUAUCAUAGUGACCCCACAGGGUUUCCAAGGCUGUAAAAUCUUUACAGAAGUAGACUGACACAUCUUUCUCCCAUGGAGUGGCAGGUGGUUUCGAACCAACCUUUAAGUUAGCAGUCGAUCACUUUAACCACUGUGCCACCAGGGCUCCUUGUAUGUGUAUAUAUGUAUAUAUAAUUUAUAUGAGUAAACUGUGAGUGCAUGUAUACAUGCAUGUUUAUCUUUAAUUAUUGCUACAUCUAUUUCUAUAAGCCUCUAGGUCAGAAUUCCAUGUUAACAGGUACCCAGAUUUUUAUUCACGUGUGUAGAUAUACGGUCAUCCUGGGUAGGAUUUUAGCUUUUCCAGGAAGUCAGCUAUGGCUUGAGUGGGAUGAAUACCUUGAUUUCCUCUCUUAACACUACCUUAUGGCUUCUUUGGAUUUGUAGAGCUAUCUUACUCAGGUAUAAUCAGUUUCCUUGUGUGACCUUUUGCCCUUGGUUCCUGGAAAAAUGACUUAGGGGAUUUCCCAAGUUGUUUUUCUGUCCCCGAUGGUUUGUUAGUUUUGUCAGGUCUACCCCAGUAAUUGACAAGGCCUGAGUUGUUUGACAUUUUAUGGUAGCCUCUCCUUUGUGAGGUUUCCUCAAAUACCAGAAAUUACUGUAUUUUUUUAAAUAGAAUCAACAGUUCUAUGCAACCUGGUUUUCCAAGGAGACUGAAUAGAAGAAAAGACCACUCACCCAUAACUCCACCACCCAGAGAUGAGCAGCAUUCUCUGUCCUGUCUUUCCUUCUAGUCCAGUUUCCUCAGCACUGAGAUGCCCAGACACCCAGGACUCCAUUUCGGUUUGCCAGAGUGAUGGUCAAAGGUAGCUGUGUACACACCACCCAGCCGACAUACUGCUAUUCACUCAGUAGAAAAAUAGAUUUAUUGCUUUUUAAAAAUGCUACUAGAUCAGCUAUAAGAAUAACAGUUUCAAAAUACACUGCGAUAUGAAUUUCAGCUCCGUUCCCCUUUUGGAAAUUACACUAAUGUAAUUUGUGGUGUUUCAGUGGAUCAAAUCUUACAGAACCAGCUCCUGUGAAAGCGGAAGGUACCUGCCCCCAAAAUAUUCUACGUGUGGCCAGUACAGUCUUCACCUUGACCUUUAUGUCUUUUCCUCCUUGUCUCUGUGCACGUGUGAAUAUACCAGAACGCAUGUAAAUAAAUUCACAAGUCUGUUUCAUCCACCACAAAUGGAAUACCAGACCCUUGAGGGGUCACUCCUUUGAUUCACUGAUGAACCAGCACCAGAUGUCUCUUCUGUGGCCUCACAGAUAUCAACCUCAUUGUCUUUCGAGGGAUAAAGGUAUUUUUGUAGCGCGAGUCCCAAUUAUACUUCAUCAAACUACUCAAUCUCUAGGUUGACAUUUAUUGUAAAAUGUACCUGCAAACACACUAUCAUGAGGUAAUAUACUGCCUCAGAGCAUGCUAUUAAAGAAAGAAAGGGACAGAGAGUAAAAGGCAGAGAGAUGGGGGCAACGGAGGGAAGGAUGGAUAGAAGGAAAAAUGGAAGGAAGGAAAUACUAAACCUAGUAUCGAAGGAGUAAAGCCAGGAUAAAUAACUUAUGGCCUUAACCAUCUCCACACCGAGGAACACAAAGCAGUGGUGAGAAAGGAAGUGAAAAUUAUUUAGCAGGAUGUUUUCUCUGGACACGUGCAAAGGCCAGGCCGUAUAUUCCGAGAAAGCGAUGAAGAGGAAAAAUAUAUUGUUCAUGCUACCCUCUGGGGUAGGUGAAGAGGUGAAAUACAAACAUGAAUCUGUAUUUGCCUUCAAGAGCAUUAAACAUAGAAAAGAAUCACAAGAAAAAAAUUCAACAUGCUUCACACUAUAAGGAAAGUUGGGAUGAGGGGUGAAAGGAGAGAUAGGACCAGGAUUAGAAGUGGUCCUAAUACAAUGGUAAAGUAUAUUUUCUUUGAAUGGGAUGAGGCUGUAUCAAAAGUAGCACCUAGAAAAUCAUAAUCUCUCUGUCUCUCUACAUGCAUGUAAAAAUCUCCGUGUGAGUAUUUGUAUGUAUAUAAGGGUGUGAGGAAGAUUGUGAGUAUAUGAUGUGGCCAAACCUUUACGUAGGGUUUUUUUUUUUCUAUUUUUAAUUUUUAUUGUGCUUUAAGUGAAAGUUUAAAAUCAAGUCAACCUCUCAUACAAAAAUUUAUAUAGACCUUGCUAUAUACUCCUAGUUGCUCUCCCUCUAAUGAGACAGCACACUCCUUCCCUCCACUCUCUCUUUUCCUGUCCAUUUGGCCCGCUUCUGACUCCCUCUGCCCUCUCUUCUCUUCUCCAGACAGGAGCUGCCCACAAAGUCUCAUGUGUCUACUUGACCCAAGAAACUCUCUCUUUACCAGUAUCACAUAUAGGGUUUUAAAGUUGAGAUUGUUAGUUGCCACUGAGUUGAUUCCGACUCAUGGUGACCCCAUGUGUGCAGAGUACAGCUGCUCCAUAUGGUUUUCAAGGCUGUGAGCUUUUGAAGGCAGAUCGCCAGGCCUGUCUUACUAGGUGCUUCUAGGUGGGUUCUAACCACCAACCUUCCAGCUAAGUGUACAGGGCUUAACCAUUUGCGUCACCCAGAGACUCGAGUUGUACAGUAGAGUCUGUAAAAGGCCCUCAUGGAGGUCACCUGCCCUGUGGAACCACUGGACUGUAUUUCUGACCCAUGGACCUCCAAACUGGGCACCAAAUGGGGAAUGACAGCCUACUACCUGGGUCCACCCUCACUGCCUUCUGACCUGCUAGGGCCACUGGACAUUACUCCUGAUGCCACAAUGACCUACUCCCUGUCUGGGGCUGGGCUCCUUAGUCCUUGCUCUGGAUGAGGUAGCUCAGUGAGUCUAGAAAAGCCAAUGAACCAGUGAUAAGAGAGGAAAUCAAGAUAUUCAUCCCAACUUAAGCCAUGAGUCAAUUUCCCCUGAAAGCUAAAAUCCUACCCAAAAGACCUGUAUAUCUAUGCACAAAAAACCUGGUACCUGUUAACACGCAAUUGACUUAGAAGUCUAAAGAAAUAGAUGUAGCAAGAGGCAGUUAAGCACGUAUGUAUGCAAAUACUUAUAAUCAUAUAUCUAUACUGAUGAGCAUAUAUAUGUGCACAUAUACAUAUAUUUAUUUAAAUAUACAUAAAUGUAUAUUUGAAGCAAACAUUUCCCGUAAUAUUCUAAUGCAGCAAGCCCCGUUUGGAAGGCCUGGAGGGUUCUUGAUCUCUCCUUGGUGUUUUUUAGUCAGGAAAGGGUGGAGGGAGAGGCACUGGAGAAAGGGUGUUGGGUAUUUGUGGAGCAACACUGCCAUCAAGCGGAAGAUUUCUGAGCAUGGUCUCCAGCCCUGCUCACUGUAUCUUCUGGAUAUGUGGGCCAUUGCUUCAAUUCCAAUUUACAGUGACCCUAUAGCACAGAGUAGAAGUGCCCUAUAGAGUUUCCUAGACUGAAAUCUUUACAGGAGCUAAUCGCCAAGUCUUUUCUCCUACAGAGCAGCUGGUUGGUUCAAACCUCGGAUCUUUUGGGUUAGCAGCCAAGUGUUUAACAGUUUUGCUACCAAAACCAAACCCACUGCCAUUGAGUCGAUUCCGACUCACAGCAACCCUAUAGGACAGAGUAGAACUGCCCCUGUAGGGUUUCCAAGGAGUGCCUGGUGGAUUCGAACUGUAGACCUUUUGGUUAGCAGCUGAACACUUAACCACUAUGCCCCGAGGGUUUCCAUUUUGCUACCAGGGCUCCUUAUCUCCUGGAUACCAAAAAAACAAAAACAAAAAAACCCCAAACUUCGACUUGAUUCCUACUCAUAAUAACCCUAUAAACCAAAGCCAUUGCCAUUGAGUUGACUCCGACUCAUAACAACCCUGUAGGGCGUGUGAUGUUAGGAGGUCUGGGUUGCGGGCCAGGCAUGGUCUUUCACUGGGCUUCUUUGUAGCUAAGGGAUGUUCUUGUGGCCCUGGGCCCACAAAGGUGACCCACUUCCUGGUCCUGGGGUUAGGGUUACGAAGCAAAGUGCCCAGAGCCCAGUGCUGAGGUGCCUUCCCAGAGGCUAGCACUACUCCCUCCCAGACAUGGCGGCUACCAAAGGCUUCCUGUGCCUAAGGUGCCUGGCACUAUGGCUGUCUGCCUCAUCCUGGCCCACCUCCCUAGCUUCUUGGGUAGGCUCUCACCUCACACAACAAUUUCCUCAUGACUCAGGAAGCUAUGGACUUGAAGGACCCUGCAUUUAGUUAUGCCAAGUACCCCUAAUCCCAGUUAUCCCCAGAAAUCAACAAUGGUGGG